rnacentral:lncRNA from 1 species
UCGUCCCGGGGGUUCCUAGAGGUAAGAAGCAGCGCAUUAGCUGUAUGCCUCGCAUUUAAUAUUACAAGUAAGGGUUAUAAUUUAGAGGUAAGAAGCAGCGCAGAUAGCUGUAUGCCUUGCAUAUUUAUUUAUAUUGUCAAGUUAAUCCCGGUUGGUCCGUACGAAAAUACAAGUAAAAGACUAUUAUUUUAGUAGCUCCGCCCGUAUGUAAAUUAUAUAUAUUAUUGUUGGAAU